ensembl:lincRNA
AUGGCCCAGACUGUGCUUCGUGCAGAAAAGCGCACGGCCUGGCAAGGUAGAGGGCACAACCAGUGUGACCACCACCGGGCAGGGGGUUCAGGACGUAGGCCUGAUUCAUCACUGUCCUCGGGGCCCAGGCCAGGGCUGGGGCAGAGCAGGCGCCAGAACACUGUGCUGUGGACUGAAAGAAGCUUCACAAACGCUUCCAACAGCCAAGGGACUAACCGAAGGUAUUUCUUCCUGCCGCACAUUUUAAGACCUGAGAAUAAGUGCGAGGCUGCAACUGGCUCCCGAAAGCACAGUAAAGAGUUUGGGGUCCCUAGGGAAAAAAACCCUCCCAGGUUUUACAGGCUCAGUUUCCCCGUCUUGAAUCCAGAAUGUGCGUGCGCGCGCACACAUGCGCGUGCCACAGGAGCAACAAGCAACGGAAAUUGGCUGGAACUGUCCGGACUGCUGGUGCCUUCGGACUGUGCUCCAGCUCGGCCCUUUCUUCCCCUCUCCGGAUGCGCGCGCGAUGGGAGAUGCCAGUCCUCCCGCGCAGGAGAGAGAGCGGCUCUUGCCCUCCCCUGCUUCGCCAGAGCGGCUGCCCGUCCCAGGAGUCCCUGGGGUAUUGAAAGGUGGAGAGGCUCCUCGGAACCAGUGUUUCCGGGAUAUGAAACAGUGCUUGCCCUCGAAGAAUUAAUAACAAUCAGCAAGCAGUUCAGUUCUGUCAAUAACCUCUCAAGGUAAGAAAUGUCCCGGUGAGCAAAGGGAUUAGAGAGGUUUGGCGUCUUACUCAAAGUCACACAGCUGCAAGUUUCAAGGCUGAGAUUUAAAUCCGGGUAUCAAUCAUCUCUCACAGCUUGCCUCCCCCUCCCUCCAUAUAUAUUUGCCUCAUAUUUAUAUUCACAUAUGUUUUCCAGGAAAUAUUUGAGAUUGUGUGGAAACAAAGAAAAGGGCAGUUGCUAACAUUUAUAUGUUCCUGAGUCGCUCUCCCCCGGUAACUCCCGGCUCUGCUGCAUUCUGCUGCUUCUGAAAAUGACAUUACUCCAGCCUGUCCCAGCAAGGCCUCUGUUUUAUGUACAUUCCUGUCUGAACACUUGAGAAGGGCUUACAGAGUGGGCCGACAGCUCUGCAGGUUCCAAAGCACUUUUCAGUUGCACGUGAGAAAGACUGAAUGAAUAAAAGGAAAAAUAUCUUAGAAUAUAAGUGCCUUACCAUGCGCCAAGAACUAGAUAAGGCAUUUUGCAGACACUUUCUCACAGAAUCCUCUCAACAACCAGGACAAGGAUGUUAUAUUGUUAGUCCCAGUUCACAGAUAAGAAAGCUGAGGCCACAGAAGUGGAGUCAUGGUUAAACUGGGAUCAUUCACUUGUUUGACGGACUUUGGUGCCAGACCCCAUGCUAGAGGCUGAAGAUUCAGGCUGUGGAGCCCCAGCCUCUGCACCCUGGGGUUGCGCUAGCAUCUGGGACUGUCAGAUCUCACAUCAAGGGCUCUUCCCAGUACAUACCUCACAGCCUUGAAAAUCUUCUCUCCCACCUGCUAUGGGGCAUGUGGGCUGUCCCUCUUGCUCAUCCCCUGCCUUUCUGCUCCCCAGCUAUACCUUACAGUUUCCCCUCUAGUUCCUACAGAAUGCUGCCUCCCGCAAGAAAUCUUCCCUGAAUGCUGCUACCCACACCCUCCUCCUCCUCCCUCCGAGGCACCUAUCUCCUUCACAUGCACUGGUUCCUUGGCCACUCCAGACCAGGAGCCCCUUGAAGGAAGAAUGUGGCCACUCCCUCUCUGGGUCAUUGAUGCCAGGCAAAGAGAAGAGGAGAGAGGAGGGGAAGGGAGGUUAUGGGAAGCAGGAGAGUCCUGGAUUCACACACAGCCUGCAUCACCAUGUGACUUGGGGUAAGUCACUGCCUCUCAUCUGAAACUCGUUCCCUCUGUGUAAAAUGGAGACCUUGAUCCCUGCAAGGAGGGUCAUAGUGAGGAUGCUGUGAAAUUUAAAUCCUUUACACAGGGGUCCACUUUGUGUCCUCUGUCCUUGGGCAAAUCAGAGCCCUCUCAAAUAACCAGAUGAGCACCAUAUUUUCUCCUGCGCUGCCCACCCACAGGUGCUGUGCUGGCCCCUGUACCUAAAAGCCUGGAUUGUGGAGGGCCUGGAUGUCCCAGUCUCGGUGAGAAAUGCCCUAGCAUGCCCAGGCCGUGGAACUUCUUGGGAGACUCAAGGAAGAAGGGAAGGACUGGGACUGGGUGGGCAUCCCCCUGAGGCCACUGCUGCUGUCCUAUCAACCUACACAGGAGGGGAGGGAUGGGGUCACCCUUCAAAGCAGGGCAAUUGUAGGGCAGCGUCUCAGGCAUGCCAUUUCAGGGGCUGGGACAGGGAUCUGGACUUAAGACCCAGCUACUCACUGACGGGCUGCUGGAUGUAUAAGCUAGAUGCCAUUGGGAGAUAAUGCCAGAUAUCACUCCCCCAACCACUGCCCAGCUCAGGCCACACCUCCUGACCUUUAGGUCUGAAAAACUAAGUAGCCACCAUGGCUAUGCACCUAAGACAAAGAGGCAUGAUGAGGCCUGCCCUUCCGAUCAGGAACUUCCAAUCAGGAGUUUUCAUCACUUCCGACUGCCAGGCUGGAGCAGGUUGACUUCUCUUAAGCCGGGUGCUAGCUCCAGAUGCUCCAGACACUGCUCUGGCCUGGGCGUCCUGUGGCCACCGUCACCACUCUCUGCCCUUGCUUCUCAUUGCUAGCUCAGAGGAGCGAGGAAGGAAGGGGAGCCUUCACUCUGGUCCAGACUGCUCCCCACACCCUUGCUCUAAGAGCCCCUCAUGUCAGUCUCAGGAUCAAGAGCCCCAGUCUCGCACUUACCAGGCUGCACCCAGAACUACAGACCGAUCAUGAACUUCGGGACCCAGUGCAGGAAGUGGCCACUUAACCUGCAUUCCCAGUGACAAGUUCUUACCUCUGCCUUACAUCUUCCUGCAGCAGUGAGGCUCCCCCACCCCAACCACAAACACACAGGGUUGUUAGUUUUCCUGUUCGGGGUGAUCUCAGGCAAUGUUUUGACACUGGCAGACUUGGGACUGGGCUGGGUUAGUUUCCCAGCCCAUCCACAAUCUGCAGGGUGAGCUUGAACAGGUUACCAUGCUCUCAGCCACAGUCUCCUCAUCGGUCCAGGUGGCCAAGGACAUAGCAGUGGAAGUGUUCACAGCCUGUCAGCCAAACCCUGACUGCUGUCAUCUGUGCAGUGAGGGCUCUGCCAUAGUUGCCACGGGUUCCCUCUCGGUGAAGUGAGCGUUCCCCCCUCCUCGUACUUCCUGAGGGGCAGGUGUGCCUCAAGGGUCCUCACUCCCCCACCCGUUGGCAUGUGGCUCCCUCCAGCGCUCUUGGGCACCUGGCCUUGGGAAGUGAUGAAAACUCCUGAUUGGAAGUUCUUAACAGUGUUGCCAUGAAAAUGAAAUCCUAGACUUUUCUGGGUUUCUCGUGAGAUGUUGGCAGAUCCACGUCAUCUGUUACAGUUAGGGUGGGCAAAUGAGUGAUUUUAAAUAUUUCCUUUAACCUUUCCUAAACUUUUUGAACAGUUUUUUGAGUGAGGCUGUUGUGGCAGAGGAGGGUGGCCUCUGCCACACUCCCUGGCAUCAGAGGGUGGGCACAAAGGGGCCACAAGAAGUGCUCAGAGAGGGGCAGGUUCUCCAGGGGAUGUGUGCACAGGGCAUCCCAGCUGAAGGGACCACUUGGCCAAAAGGGCAGUGGCAAGGGCAGGCAGGCUGGUGGAGAGGUGGGUCCGUGCCAGGGGCUUGAGUGCCUGUGGGGUGUGGCCACAGCCAGCCCUGGCGAGUCCUCUCAACAGGCUGGAGAGGGCGGGCGUGGGGCGAGCCCUCAGACGUGGGGACCUGCCAUCAGGGUAGCCCGCUGUAGUCAGGGAGUCAGCCCUGCAUGCACGCAGGGUGCUCUGGGCUCCGCUAGGAGUCUAUGAUGGGGCCGGGGGGAGGUCAGGGAGGGCUUCCUGAAGCGGGUGUAUGACCACACUGCAUCCUAAAGUGGAACCAGCAGCAGAGUGCACUCCUGCGAGGGAGGACCUGAACUGAGGAAUAUGGCACCCGCUGUGGCUGCCCUGCCCUACCUGGUCUGGGCCUCAAGGACAGCCUGCUCCCUCCAUCUGCUGCCUCCCACUCUCCCUGCCUCCAGCCCCCAAGGAUCGCCCUUCUGAAGCUCAGCUGAGACCCAAGACCUGUCACUGUGCCCUCCCUGACUCACUAUUCCCCCGGGGAUGUCAGGUUUCCCAUGGCUGGCAUCGUCUGAGCCUGUCAAGCUCUCCAGCUUCCAAGAGGCAAAGAAAGGUGAGGAGGGGGCCUGAGGCCUAGCUGCCUCUCCCGGAUGGACGGAUGGGGCAGGUGGAACUUCCGGAGAUAAGGGCAGCCAACAAUGGGGGGCUGUGUGACAUGGCCUCUCUCCCUGCGGGCCAGAGGAAAUGAAUGGCCUCCGCACCAUUGAUCCGCUGCAGCCUGUGGCACCUUCUCCAAGGGAGACCAGGGUGGGGGAGGUUCCCAUGCACCCCGCUCGCUGUCCCCACCGGAGGCCUGGGCCUGCCACUCCAGGUCCUCUUCCUCCAGGACCUCACAUGAAGAAGAGGGCCAUGUGGAGGGGCAACUGGGACAGGAAGCAGUGGCCUGACAGCUCGGCCGUGUUGUGGGGGUGUGAGGACCCUCUCCGCAUGAGGGCCUUGGACACACAUUUUACCCAAAUACCAGCCCCAGUGCGGGUCUCAGGCAGCAAGUGUGAGCGGCUGCUGGGGGAGGCUGGGGUUCUGUGGGCUGUCACUGCCACUGCAGCUGAGCUCAGUGGGGAGAAUGAGGCACCAGGAGGGGUGUGACCCAACGGCCAUCCUGUGGGGAGGGGCAGGUGUACUCAAUGACAAGGACAGUGAAACCUUGGGAUUUGCACAGAUCCCCCUGAGUUCCGCCUUCCCUGUGUGUAUCUUGAUGGAUCCGCCAAGAUUCCUUCCUGCCUUGGGGCUGGGGUCCAUCCUCUAGAGCAGAGCCUGGCUGGCCAGCCCAAAGGCUGUCCGUGAUGACAGGAGUUUGUGGAGCCCUGGGUACCUGCUGCAUGUCACGUGGGGGGCUGCCUCUGAAACCACAUUCAGGGGCAGUCUCCAGGCUGGGGGUGCAGCCUCCCUGCCUCUCCCUUCACCAUUUCCUACCCCUCACUCUUACCCCCUGCUCUUGGAUGGCAGCCUGAGACUGGAAAGGGGCUGAGAUUCUCAGCCUAGGUGACAUUCAUAGUAAAGCAUGGAACCCGUGGAAGCUCUGGGAUGAUAAGGCCGGCCCACUAUUCGGAGAGGAAAACUGAGGAAGCCAAGGCUGAGAGCCUCCCAAAGCCCCACAGGGAGCAGGUGGCACAGAAAAGGUAGAAACAGGCUUCUGACUCCUCAUACACUCUU